UUGUAACGGUCGAACACGAAAGCACGACGUUUUCUUCUCUUUUUCUUCCAGUUUCGGAUGUUUGCUGGAGGCGUUAAACGUAACAGAAUUUUUUGAUUCAUUUUCGUUUGAUCUGAAAGAUGAACGAACCAAACAACGAUCGAGACUGUAACGAUUCGGUAAAGGUUGCUGUACGAAUCAGGCCAUUGGUCGAGUCAGAAAUAGCUAGAGGAUGCAACAAUGUUUUAGAAGUUAUACCUUCAUUACAACAAGUUCAGGUGGCAGAUAAAGCCUUCACAUACAAUUACGUCUACGAUUGUGAAUCAACACAGGAAGAAUUUUACAACAGUUGUUCCAAGAAGUUAAUUACCAACUUGUUUAAGGGGUACAAUGUGACCAUAUUGGCUUAUGGACAAACAGGCUCUGGAAAAACUUAUACCAUGGGUACUUGUUAUGAUGGUGAGGGUGAAAUGGGAAUUAUACCCCGGGCAAUACACGACAUUUUUACCUACGUCCGCGAUAAUUUUUCUUAUGAUUUUACUGUAACGGUAACGUUUAUGGAACUUUAUCAGGAGACACUGUACGAUUUAUUGUCAAAAAAACCGAAAGAUCAGUGUAAUGUCGAAAUUAGAGAUGACGGAAAAAAUAUAUUGAUUCCUAACUUAACAGAAGAAACCGUUGAUAGUGCUCAUAAAGCUUUGGAGUUUUUAAGAAUCGGUUCUUUGUCUCGGGUAGUGGGAUCCACUAAUAUGAAUGCCCAAAGUAGUCGUAGUCAUGCAAUUUUUACCAUUAACCUAUGCAUGCAAAAGAAAGAUGACAGUAACCAAAACAAGGCUGCAAAGUUUCAUUUGGUAGAUCUAGCCGGUUCAGAAAGAUCAAAGAAAACUGGAGCAACUGGACAAACUUUUAAAGAAGGCAUAAAUAUAAAUAAGGGAUUACUUGCCCUUGGAAAUGUCAUAUCUGCUUUGGGAGAUGAAAAACUGCAAGCGGGUUAUAUCUCUUACAGAGACAGCAAUUUGACAAGACUAUUAAAAGAUUCUCUUGGAGGUAAUAGCAUCACAUUAAUGAUUGCUUGCGUUAGUCCAGCUGAUUAUAAUCUAGAAGAGACGCUAUCAACUUUGCGAUAUGCUGAUAGAGCAAGAAAAAUUAAGAAUAAACCUAUUGUCAAUCAAGAUCCAAAAAUUGCAGAGAUAAAUCGUUUGAAAAAGACAAUACAGCAGCUGCGUUUGGAAUUAAUUGGUCAAGGUGGUCCCAUAGUUUGUCAAGGUGAAAUAGACACGAUUAGAAAAGAAAAUGACCAAAUGAAGGCUAAAAUACACGAGUUAACUGUUCAACUGUCGUCAUCGAUUAACGAAAAGACCGGUCUUUUGGAACGGUUAAUUAUAUUACAGACGUCUAACGAACGUUUGCGAGAAAAGUUACUUGAAAUAAAGAAAGAAUAUGAUACGACGUUAAACAGUCUAAACCUGAGUAUUCAGCAGAACGACGGGGACAUGAUACGUGAAAACAUGCGUAAAUUGGAAAUUAUGAAACUACAAUUAACUGAACUCGACACCGAACAUAAAAAAACUGAAGAGGAAGUACGAAUGCACGAGGCCGACGUAGCGCAGAUUCAAAAUCAGAUGUUUACCAACAACAAGGCAUUAGUGAAUGACAUUGAAAUGGAGAAAGAAUUAAAAGAGCGACACGAGUACUAUGCUGCCCAUCAGAUGGCGAAAGACUUACAGUUACAGGAAUUGUCGAAAAUGCUGGCAAUGAAAGAACGUCUAGCGCAGCAAAUCGCCAGCAACAAUUGCUAUAUGGUCGACUAUCAAGCUAUAACUGAGACCGAAGAGAAAAUUAAUAGCCUUGAAAAAGAAAAGGAAGAUCUGCUAGUGCAAUUAAAAAAGGCACAGACGACCGGUAACGAACCGUCGGCUAAGGGUGCCGAGAUACGGCGAAGGAGAAUUCAAGAACUGGAAAAAGAAAUACAAGAUUUAAGAAGAAAGGUUACUGAACAAGCUCGACUUAUUAAGAUGAAAGAGAAAGACGAACUGAAAAUAAAACAACUGCAGAACGAGAUCCAGUCGAUGAAACAAUUAAAAGUAAAGUUAAUAAGAGAUAUGAAACAGGAAGCGGACAAGUUCAGACAAUGGAAGAAGCAACGCGAGCAAGAAGUCUGCAAGCUGCGAGAGCAGGAUAGAAAACGGCAGAACCAGAUGAGAGUUAUGGAAACGAUGCACAGUCGGCAGCAGAACGUCCUCAAACGAAAAGUGGAGGAGGUAGCGGCCAUCAAUAAGCGACUAAAGGACGCACUUGCAUUGCGAAAUGCUGUACAAGAACAGAAAAAUUCCGGUAAAGUCGAACAGACAGCUGCGUGGCUGCGACAAGAGUUUAAUUUGUUUGUGAGCAUAAUCGAAGCAAAAGUGACUUUGACUGGUCUUUUGGAAGACAGAGCGGCACUACAUCAACAAAUGGAAAAUCUGAAGGCUGAUGCUUCCGACGAAGAUUCGGAAGAAGUUAAGCAACUCAAAAACGAAAUAGAGCUGCGCUCGAUUCAAAUUCAAGAUUUACAACAGAAACUGCUCGAUUCCGACGAAGACAACAAAUCCAGAGCACGUUUUGACAAUAUUCAAACAAUGAACGAAGCCAAGUAUUGUUUGAAGAUGCUUUUCCAGCUCACUUCAGAAAUAAAGAAGAACGAGGUGAAUUUAGAAUACAGGAUGAGUGAACUGGUGCAAAGUCAAAAUGAGAUGGCCAAUAAAUUAAAAGUUCUCGAGGCUAAUUUGAUCAAGAAUAAUCAGAAUCACCAAUUAGAAAUGGCCAACGUUCAGAAAGAGUACGAAGAAAAGGUGUCGGUUUUGUUAAGACAGUUACGGGGUGUUCAGGUUUCGGAUACAGAAAAGGAAAUGAACUACAGAUUUAACAUACAACAACAGCGUAUAGAAAUGUUGGAAAAACAACUAGAGGAAAAGCAGAAAGAAGGUGAAACAGUAAUAGUAGAAAAUUCCAAAUUGGCAAGAACCAUAGACGACAUAACGGUUGAAGAGAAUAUACUAGAUGUGAGCGUCGAAGUAGAAGUGGAUAAUCCAGUUGCUGACCCCGACUGGAGAAAAACACCAUUGGCUAAGAGAAUAAGAAAAUUGAGGAAAACUUCUCCAGAGUUUUCAAGCCAAACAGUUAAACGAAGUUCGGAAGGCGGUUGCACGUGUAAAGGAUCGUGCGCCACAAGAAACUGCGGAUGUAAAAAGUUUCAGCUUAGUUGUAACCCUAACUGCAGGUGCGAUCCCCUCAAUUGCGUCAAUAGAAAUGAAAAGAAAGAACGGAGCGAGAGCACUAACGGAGACGAUUUCAAAAAACCUAGAGUACCGUUAGCAGAAGACAUUUCUAUCCCAAAAACCAUGUCUACGAGAUCGUCGAGAUUAAAACGAGAAAGGUUGUUUGAAUUAUAAGAGUUUAACUAUUUUCUUAUUGCCACAAAUAGAUUUAAUUUAUGUAGGUAUAUUUAUGUAUGUUAGUAAUUACAUUUUUUGAUUGUCAUUUCUAUUUUUGUGUGUACCUAAAUUUUUUAAAAAUAUGUGAAAGAAAGACCACAAUGCAAACUAUUGUGUAUUAUUCAGUGGUUAUUAAUAAGAAAAAUUGUUUUAAAAUAAAUGUAACAUAGUACCCAGUGGGUUUUCCUCAAAAGUUACGUCUUGCAAAGUGGCAUUCGGCAGUGGAUGCAAACAACACGCAAGAAAAUAAUGACACCCUUCACAAUGCGAUACACCGAUACAAUCUUGUAAAUCCGCAUUUCCUUUCUACCAAUCAUUUUUAAAAUCCUGUUAUAUUUACUCAUACAAAUAUUGAAAUGUUUAAUUCUUGAAACUGCAACGUGUUUUUUUUUUUUGUUUAACAACAUUACCUCGUGUCUUGCUAUUUUCUCAUUCUUGUAUAAUAAGUAUCAUGGAACGCACCCAAUUUCUCCAUAGCAUAAAUUGAGGUUAACUUGGCAUUUAUGGUUAUUUGAUUUUAUUUCGAUGAUUCUGUUUUUUAAAGUGGAGGCUACUUCAUUGUAAUACCUGGGUUAAUUUUGGCAUUUCACUCGGUUUUUGACAGUUUACUUAAUAGCCUGCUGUAGUGCAGGACCACCUGGAAUUUGUUGUUUGCUGCUUACCAUUAACCCAGAACGAACUUACAAUCAAUUGGCAGUGCAAUAUCUGGGGAUCGUCUCUGUGAUUGUGUUAACAUCUAAUUCAUAAAUAGUUGACUUAAUAGUCUACUGUGCUGUAGGACUCGCUGGACUUUGUUGUUUUCUGCUUACCAUUAACCUAGAACGAAUUUGCAGUCAAAUGGCAGGGCAAUAUCUGGGAAUCAUCUCUGUGAUUGUGUGAGCAUCUAAUUCUUAAAGAAGAAGGUUGAUAGUUACUUUAAUAUGGUAUGCACGUAAUGUCACUAAGGGGGCUGAACUGAUCAUAUGCGAUGAUAGUUGACUUAAUAGUCUGCUGUGGUGUACGAUUCCGUGGACUUUGUUGUUUGCUGCGUACCAUUAACCUUUGAAUCGGAAUUUGCAGCGAAAUAUCGGUGCAACAUCUGGGGAUUGUCUCUGUGAUUGUGUUAGCAUCUAAUCCUUAUAUAGUUGACUUAAUAGUCUACUGUGCUGUAGGACUCGCUGGACUUUGUUGUUUUCUGCUUACCAUUAACCUAGAACGAAUUUGCAGUCAAAUGGCAGGGCAAUAUCUGGGAAUCAUCUCUGUGAUUGUGUGAGCAUCUAAUUCUUAAAUCGUUGACUUAGUAGUCUACUGUGCUGUAGGACUCCCUGGACUUUGUUGUUUGCUGCUUACGGCUAACCUAACAACAAUUGGCAGUCAAUAAUGGUGGGAAUAAAGGCCAUUAUACUGUUUAUUCAUAUAAACUGAUAAAUAAGUUCAUAAUUACUUUAAGGGGCUAUGCAUGCUAUAGCUAUAGAAGAUGAGUUAAUGAUUCAUAGUGAGUACAUUUAACAUUUUAGUGUUUUUAUUAGUUUUAAAUACAUAAGAAGUACAUUUUCUUAAACAACUGUACAGUAAGUUUCGAAGUUGUAAUAUGUUGUUUGUUUAAUAAUGCUACGCUGUGUACAUGUUA